GGAUUAGAUACCCUGGUAGUCCACGCCGUAAACGAUGGGUACUAGUUGGUGCGGGUAUUGACCCCUGCGCUGACGCAGCUAACGCAUUAAGUACCCCGCCUGGGGAGUACGGCCGCAAGGCUAAAACUCAAAGGAAUUGACGGGGGCCCGCACAAGCGGUGGAGCAUGUGGAUUAAUUCGAAGCAACGCGAAGAACCUUACCUGGCCUUGACAUCCUAGGAACUCUCCCGAAAAGGAGAGGUGCCCUUCGGGGAAUCUAGUGAAAGGUGCUGCAUGGCCGUCGUCAGCUCGUGUUG
rnacentral:rRNA from 1 species